CAAAAGAAGAAUAUGCCCCUUGCUGGAGCUGAGACAUAAGGAAAUUUUGGAACUGAAAAAGCCAAUCUAGCUCAGCACUUCUGCUAUUUAUUUGGUUUUGGAGUUGUGAAGAUGGAAUUAAUUGCCUCCCAUCUAUAUUGUUUGGCCUAAUAUUCCUGUAUACUAAAAUGCAGAUAAAGCCUGAAUUAAGAGCCAAGUGAAGUAUUGUCCGGAGCUGUAAUAGCAUGUUUGGCAGCUGUAUGGCAGUCAGCUGCACACACAACAAUGGUAGUGUCAACAGGACGGCCUUUCAUGAGGACCAGAUGGCCCUUAAGGUCUGCUUUCAGUCUGUUACUGAACACCAAGGCUAAUAUUCUUCUCCUAAUGUGACACUGUUGGAACAGAGAUUUCAAAGCAUGCAGCCUCUGACAAUUACCCGACAGAGCAGAAUGAAUAGAAGACACCGGGAAACUCAAAACAUCUGAAAUGUUUGGGACUGCACAGUGCAUAAGACAAGUUUGUGUUAGGUAAGAGUGUAGCUCCCUUACACGUAUGGGAGAGAUUUGCAUGACAGUAGUAUGGGAGCUUGCCUUGUGUGUACCUGGGCAGGGGCAGGGAGGAAAUGGGAUAAAAAGCAAAAGCAUUAUGCAGAGAGCCACUGCUAAUGUUGUUCAGGGAUGUAACAAAGGCAGAGAGAGAGCAAAAAAGCAGGUGUGAGCUGAGCUGAGUACAGGUAAAGAAUAGCUUGAUCUGUGAACAAAGAAAACAUUUGCUGUUAGAUUCCUAUUCUGUGUCAGGGACUGGAGGUGAUGGGAUUUACCUAACAGUCUUGGUUUUGCAUUUGGUGUUUGGCACAGCUACAUCUUGAAUGUUUCAAGUGAAGUAUUGUGCUGGUUUUCUUUCUAGUUAAAUUUACAUAUUACAGAGAAGAUGUUGUAUUGUUUAUCCUUCUGUCUCUCCUUUACUGCAUCCUUUGUUUCUAAUUGGACUGGUGAAACAUUAAAAAACUGGUUUAGGGUCAUACGCUGACAAAAAGGCAGACUACACUUGGUAACUGAUAUCACUAAAUUACUGGGGGGAAAGAAUGAUUCAGCUCAGGAUGUGCAUAUAUAAGAUUGUGCUAGUAACUCAUUAUUUUACUUAAAGAUUAUUUCUAUUCUUUUAUUUCUUCUGGCUCAGCUUUUGUAUGUAACUUUAAAGUAUGUUAAAUGUAAUUGAAUAUGGUGACUAUAAGAGAGCCAUUGAAUAAAAGAGAACCUACUGUUUGAUCAUCUCAAAUAGAAUAAGGGAGAAAUACAUUCAGCAAAGUCUUUCUGCAGAUGUGUUUUUGCUUUUAAAGCCACAUAUUUCCCUAGUUUGUUUUUAAAAGAAAGGCACAGACUGUUCCAGGUUUGGAAACAAAUCAUCAGGUCACCUGAAACAACAAAAAACGAAAAACAAAAAACUCUCUCAGCUCUGGCUUCUUUUCACAAACUGGACCAAAUUAAUUGCGCUUGCAGGAACAUGACCAUUAUGACUGCAUGUUUUAAUGACUGAGCAGGAGUAUGUUUGAUUAGAUUUGGAGGGGCUUUAUAGAGUCUAUCUGGAGACCUGAAGGAUACUAAUCACAGUAAUUUGUCAUUUAUAUCUGAAUUUGGGCUGUAGUUUUACUGUUCCAACUUUGGAAUCCUGGACAAUGAGCUACUUCAGAUUUUACCUCCUUACUGACUUGUAAUGGCUGGACUUGUAAUGUUUCAGUAACUCACUAUAAUUGUGCAUGGACUGUGGUAGUGGCCAGAAAGGUUGUCACUGACAGCAAAUCCUGCUUGUGAUCAUCUUGGUGCAUGGUCCGUGCAGGAGCUAUUUACUUCCUGCAGUAUGUGCUCAUUGCACCAACUCUGUUAA